rnacentral:lncRNA from 1 species
UUGAAUGCUUGCUGUUAGAGCUGGGUCAAAGCUCUAUCAACGAAUUAGAGAAGCUAGCCACUUAAAUUGAAUGAUUAACAAUUUACAUUCAAACACUUAAAUUGAUUGAGAUUGAUGAGCAGUCCACGCGUCUUUUAUUCUGGGCAGAAAAGAUGGAAACGAAACAACGGGAUUCUGGAAAGCGUAGCUUAAUUUCUAGUUCGUGUAGCGUUCCUGGUAUGCUGCUCUUUCAAGUUCAUGUUAGAGAUUUAUUUAGAAACUGUUCUUUGUAGAAAUUAUUCAGAUUAGCUUUUCCCAGCUGUAGAGUUUUGAAUAUUGCUGUUGAUAAUCUAGAAAUAUUCGACUGAUCAAAUUAAGAAGGCAGAGUUUUUGACAUCUCCUGAUAAAACAAUCUACACAGAAAUCACAUGAUCCUCAAGCAUUAAUCACGUUACCACUAGAUCAACACACGCACAAUAUUAGACGCCCAUAUUAAUUCAUAGUUUGAUCACCUAAUUAUUGAUAGUAAAUACAUUAAGCCCCCAAAGAAUAAGUACAAACUGAUGUAAAUAUAUAGGCCAUUGUUCAGUGGCAAAGCAACACAGAGUUUGACCAAAUCAUCUUGAUUCCGGAAAGACAUCCUUGUUUGAGAACUCUUGAGAAAUAUAAAGCCAUAUACAGAAAGGGAACUCGAAGAUGAUUGCCGGAUCAUAUGAUGGAUGGAGAAAUUUCUGAUUUUGACCUACAUGAUCGAGAUGUAAUUAAGUUCCCUUUUUCGCCACAAGUUUCUUGUUCUCAUUAACUUGGAUUUUGUUAAGAUGACUGAAAAUGUUAUUAUAAUUCUUCAGUUGAUUCGAUAAGACCAUGAACGAGGCUGAUAAAAUUCGACUUCUAAACGACAUCUGUGCUGGAAAGUUUCAGAAACAUAUUCAGGAAUGCAGGAGCUCAGCUUCUCCUGCUCUCUCUCUCUCUCUCUGAUUUAUUUGUGGAAACUAGAUUCGUUCUUUCCAUGUGAUGCAAGAAGAACUUUUCUUCUUGUUUGAUUUUAACUAUUCGGGAUCUUUUCUUCUUAUUUUUGGUUUUCGACAGAAUGUUGUUCAGUGGCUGAUUAUCGUCCAAUAACGGCAAUUCUCUGCAACAUAAGUAUAUAAAUU